UGAUCCACCAAACACCCCAUUCCUUUUCUUUUUCUUUUGCCUGCGCAGUACACACACACGACACCCUCCCCAUUCUAAAUCAACAUUUGACAAAUUGAAAUCAUAUGGGAAUUUAAAGGAAGUAGUCAGCUAGCAUUAAAAAAAUCAAGGAUUCAUCAUUUUCAUCUUACUCUUCUUCAUUCUUAUCUCAAGAAUAUCAGAUUGGUUUUGAAUAGACGUGGAGACUAGAUUUGCUCAUUCUCAAGUUUGCUCGCCCUUUUGCUCUUUGAUCGCUAAGAUAAUGAAUGAAGAGGAAAGAGAUGAAGGAUUUGUACAGAACAUUCAGAGGCAAGUAAGUGCAUUGUCUUGGCUUGAAAUAUGAUGGAG